UAGUCCACGCCGUAAACGAUGAUUACUCGUUGUUGGCAAUACAUCGUCAGCGACUGAGCGAAAGCAUUAAGUAAUCCGCCUGGGGAGUACGAUCGCAAGAUUGAAACUCAAAGGAAUUGACGGGGGCCCGCACAAGCGGUGGAACAUGUGGUUUAAUUCGAUGAUACGCGAGGAACCUUACCUGGGCUUAAAUGCAGAACGACAGUUCCCGAAAGGGAUCUUUCUUCGGACGGACUGCAAGGUGCUGCAUGGUUGUCGUCAGCUCGUGCCGUGAGGUGUCGGGUUAAGUCCCAUAACGAGCGCAACCCCUAUCGUUAGUUGCCAGCGAGUAAUGUCGGGGACUCUAACGAAACUGCCGGUGUAAGCCGAGAGGAAGGUGGGGAUGACGUCAAAUCAGCACGGCCCUUAUGUCCAAGGCUACACACGUGUUACAAUGGUCGGUACAAAGGGCAGCUACCUAGUGAUAGGAUGCUAAUCUCAAAAACCGGUCUCAGUUCGGAUUGAAGUCUGCAACUCG
rnacentral:rRNA from 1 species